rnacentral:rRNA from 1 species
UACGUAGGGUCCAAGCGUUAUCCGGAAUUACUGGGCGUAAAGCGUGCGCAGGCGGCGCGUUAAGACAGGUGUGAAAGCCCCGAGCUUAACUUGGGAAUUGCGCUUGUGACUGGCGUGCUGGAGUGUGGCAGAGGGAGGUGGAAUUCCACGUGUAGCAGUGAAAUGCGUAGAGAUGUGGAGGAACACCGAUGGCGAAGGCAGCCUCCUGGGCCAGCACUGACGCUCAUGCACGAAAGCGUGGGGAGCAAACAGG